rnacentral:rRNA from 1 species
GACGAACCGAGCGAACGUUAUUCGGAAUCACUGGGCUUAAAGGGCGCGUAGGCGGGCGAUCAAGUCAGGGGUGAAAGCCCCCAGCUCAACUGGGGAAGUGCCUCUGAUACUGGUCAUCUCGAGGGAGGUAGGGGCGUGCGGAACUUCCGGUGGAGCGGUGAAAUGCGUAGAUAUCGGAAGGAACAUCGGUGGCGAAAGCGGCGCGCUGGACCUCUUCUGACGCUGAGGCGCGAAAGCCAGGGGAGCGAACGGG